rnacentral:rRNA from 1 species
AACGAACGCUGGCGGCAUGCCUAACACAUGCAAGUCGAACGAGAUCUUCGGGUCUAGUGGCGCACGGGUGCGUAACGCGUGGGAAUCUGCCCUUUGGUUCGGAAUAACAGUUGGAAACGACUGCUAAUACCGGAUGAUGACGAAAGUCCAAAGAUUUAUCGCCAGAGGAUGAGCCCGCGUAGGAUUAGCUAGUUGGUGUGGUAAAGGCGCACCAAGGCGACGAUCCUUAGCUGGUCUGAGAGGAUGAUCAGCCACACUGGGACUGAGACACGGCCCAGACUCCUACGGGAGGCAGCAGUGGGGAAUAUUGGACAAUGGGCGCAAGCCUGAUCCAGCCAUGCCGCGUGAGUGACGAAGGCCUUAGGGUUGUAAAGCUCUUUCGUCAGGGAAGAUAAUGACGGUACCUGAAGAAGAAGCCCCGGCUAACUUCGUGCCAGCCGCCGCCGUAA